GAGUUUGGAUCCUGGCUCAGAAUCAACGCUGGCGGCGUGCCUAACACAUGCAAGUCGAACGAGAAAGGGACUUCGGUCCUGAGUAUAGUGGCGCACGGGUGAGUAACACGUGAAUAAUCUACCUCCGAGUGGGGAAUAACUGAGAGAAAUCUUAGCUAAUACCGCAUAACACUUACGAGUCAAAGCAGCAAUGCGCUUGGAGAGGAGUUCGCGGCCGAUUAGUUAGUUGGCGGGGUAAUGGCCCACCAAGACGAUGAUCGGUAUCCGGCCUGAGAGGGCGCACGGACACACUGGAACUGAAACACGGUCCAGACUCCUACGGGAGGCAGCAGUGGGGAAUUUUGCGCAAUGGGGGAAACCCUGACGCAGCAACGCCGCGUGGAGGAUGAAGUAUCUUGGUACGUAAACUCCUUUCGAUGGGGAAGAUAAUGACGGUACCCAUAGAAGAAGCCCCGGCUAACUUCGUGCCAGCAGCCGCGGUAAUACGAGGGGGGCAAGCGUUGUUCGGAUUUAUUGGGCGUAAAGGGUGCGUAGGCGGUUUGGCAAGUCUUGUGUGAAAUCUUCGGGCUCAACCCGAAGCCUGCACGAGAAACUACCGGGCUUGAGUAUUGGAGAGGUGAGUGGAAUUUCCGGGUG
rnacentral:rRNA from 1 species